rnacentral:rRNA from 1 species
UACGAGGGGGGCGAGCGUUGUUCGGAAUUAUUGGGCGUAAAGGGUGCGUAGGCGGUUCGGUAAGUUGUAUGUGAAAUCUUCGGGCUUAACUCGAAGCCUGCAUAAAAUACUGCCGGGCUUGAGUAUGGGAGAGGUGAGUGGAAUUUCCGGUGUAGCGGUGAAAUGCGUAGAUAUCGGAAGGAACACCUGUGGCGAAAGCGGCUCACUGGACCAUAACUGACGCUGAGGCACGAAAGCUAGGGGAGCGAACGGG